AUUGAACGCUGGCGGCAUGCCUUACACAUGCAAGUCGAACGGCAGCACGGGUGCUUGCACCUGGUGGCGAGUGGCGAACGGGUGAGUAAUACAUCGGAACAUGUCCUGUAGUGGGGGAUAGCCCGGCGAAAGCCGGAUUAAUACCGCAUACGAUCUACGGAUGAAAGCGGGGGCCCUUCGGGCCUCGCGCUAUAGGGUUGGCCGAUGGCUGAUUAGCUAGUUGGUGGGGUAAAGGCCUACCAAGGCGACGAUCAGUAGCUGGUCUGAGAGGACGACCAGCCACACUGGGACUGAGACACGGCCCAGACUCCUACGGGAGGCAGCAGUGGGGAAUUUUGGACAAUGGGCGAAAGCCUGAUCCAGCAAUGCCGCGUGUGUGAAGAAGGCCUUCGGGUUGUAAAGCACUUUUGUCCGGAAAGAAAUCCUUGGCUCUAAUACAGUCGGGGGAUGACGGUACCGGAAGAAUAAGCACCGGCUAACUACGUG
rnacentral:rRNA from 1 species